UAAAUAGUAUUGCAGUAUUAUUGUGUUAUUCGUACGCGCCUGCAGUAUUAAUCGGAAGUAAUUUCUACUAGACUGAGUUGUUUCAUGUUUGUGUUAUUAUUUACUUUUGCCCAAGACAAUGGAGUGCAUUAUAUGUAAGAAAACUGUGUAUAAUACUGACAAAUCUGUGAUACAAAACCCAAGAAUACAAGGUUUGCUGUCUUUAAUAUCAAGUGUAAAAAAAAGGCAAGAUAAUAUUGGAAAAGAAAUUCUGGCAAAAAAAAUCUGUCUUAAAUGGCACACUAACAGUAAAAUAUCAUAUAGACUGUCGUAAAUCUUACACGAGUUUUCAAAAUAUUGAUAAUAGUAAUAAUAGGGAGUUAAAAAGUGGUGCCGGUCCUUCGAAUUAUUCCGCUAAGCAUUUUAGAUCCGAUGGUUUUGAUGUUAGGAAAAUGUGCCUUAUUUGCAACAGUAGUGGAACUAAAAAAAAAGAAAAACUUGGUUGCCGUUCAAACAGGCAAUGGAAAAAAAAUAUAAUCAUUCUUUAAAAAUUGUCUGAUUUGCCAUUGCUAUCUAAUGAAGAGGCAUUAAAGAUUGUAACAAAGCUAGUCCUUCUAUUAUAUAGAAAUAAAGAUAAAGAUGUCCAGAAAUUAAUCGAUCUAAGGGUUAAGCUAGCGACAUUAACAAAUAAACCAUCAUCGAAACUUCCUCCAACUGAAGGCGCUUUUUAUCAGCAUUUUUUAAGGUGUAUGUAUCAACUUCGAAUAUGGUAUAGCAGUGAUAUUCCAAUGCCAAGUAUAAAUACAAACGCAUCAGGAUAGAAUUUAACUGAAGAUGUAUGGACUCCAGUUUUUUCGGAUGAUAAGCCAAUUCCAGAUUUUGUUCGAAAAUCAUUAAAUAUUUAUUGUUCUGAUAAAAACUGUAACAAUAAAAAAUGUACUUGCAUCAAAGAGGGUUUAAAUUGUUGUAUCGAGUGCAAAUGCCGUUUUUGUAGUAACCUUCUUGAAAAUAUCGAGAUGGAUGCGAAUGAUAACAACGAAUUAGAAUAUUAUUAGUGUAGCGUUUAUUAAACAACCACAACAUAACCAUUAUAUUUAGCUAUAUUUAUUUAUCCAAAUAAGAGUUUUAUUUCAGCAAAACUUGUUUAUACUUAUUGUUACUUCAAUAAUACAUGUAAGUAGGUAUGUACCUAUGUGUGAGAUAAUUAAUCCAUUUAUUUAUUUAGCAGUAAAUUAUCAUUUUUAAUUUACUUUAAAAAUGAUAAACCACUUAUUUAUUAUAAUAUAUAGAUUGGUACCUAUGUAUGUAUAUAUAUGGGUAUAUUAUACAUAUACAAAGCCAACUAAAUAUUUAAAAUGAAACACAUCAGUACGUACUUAUUAUUACGAACUUUGCGCAAUCAUGCGUCAGUCACUUCGAUACCCAAUCGUUGCAGCGGACUCGAUAUGAUAGCCGCGCUAAGCGCGCAAAUCCAAUUUUGCCCAUAAAAAAAAAUUCACUGACUCAAUACUAUCAAAGAUAUAUGAAAAAUGUUUUUUUCAAAAACUUUUAUUAACUAUUGGCUUCAUUUCAUACGCAGCAUGUAUACACAAAUUUUCAGAAAUAUACUUUUUUGUCGAUUGCUCAAAAUUAUGCUUCUGAAAAUAACAAGUUUUAGUUUCCUAUUAUUUAACAAUUAAAAAAAAAACAAAUUUGAAUAAACGUGAGCUGUUGUUUAAAGCUCUGUUGCUACAGCUUUAAUCUAAAAAAAAAAUUACUUGAUAGCUCAAGUACUUUCAGAGAUAGAGCGAUGGAAACACAAAAAAACGUGGAUUUCAUAAAAUCAAUUUUUUUGAUUUUUUUCCGGAUAAAAAACAUCUCGACCACCGGAAAAUGUCGUAAAACGCGAUUUCAUAUGCCAUGUAACAUAUUUAAUGAAACCCAACAUGUUUCACCUGGUUGUACUUCCAAAAAAAAAAAUGACACCCUAGACCCUAGAAUUUACUACACUAAUUGGAGCUUAAAUAUUUAUUACAUCAGGAAGAGAAAGAGUUAUCUAGGAAAGAAAAGGAAGAAGAAAAAAACAUAUUUGAAUAAAAUAAAUUCUAUAACGCAUAAAUAUCUGAUCACAGGUCACAGCCAAAAUGAAGGGGAUUCUGUACACUCAACGAUUGAAAGGCAAAUUAAAAGGAGUCUUAUGUUCCUAGCCAAUAUGUACAAAUAAUUCGAUCCGUCAAAAAAAGAGGAGAGUCGUAUCAUGUAAAUGAGUUAAGUUACCAGGACUUUUUCUCCUUAAAGUCACUAGCAGAUGAAAUUAAUCUGUCUUGUUUUAGAAAAGUAAAAAUAUCUGAGGUUAAGGUCUUAAAGUUGACCAAUGAAGAUCCAACUAAACUUUUCUAUAAAACUUCUUAUAAGCAGGAAGAGUUUAUGCAGGAAAAUCUGAUAAGAGAAACAAGAAACUCUACGACGCGACGUGUCCAAACCAGCCUCUACUGAAGUCAGCUUAUAAAGCCGCUCCAAAAAUAAAGGAAAAUAAGAAAAAAGAUCUUAUGGACCUACUGGAACAUCACCACAUUCCAGGUUAUUAUGCAGCUUUUUAUAAUACGCUGUAAAAUGUCAAA
rnacentral:lncRNA from 1 species